rnacentral:lncRNA from 1 species
CAUCUUUAGGUCUUUCUCAAUGUGUUGCUGGUCCUGGGAACUACAGCAGCUUCUGACACAGCUCAUCCAAACUCUUCAAGAAGAGCGGACUUUCUCCCUACCUUUCUGGCCUUCCCUCAAGCCCAGUAAUCAAAAGAAAACACUGGAAAAAGAUUAAAACUCAGAGACAAGACUUAAAAACCAGGAGAACUGAAAAGAUGACUGAAGAGGCUUACCAGGAGUUGAGAUGAGGUUGAGACACCUGGAGACCCUCAUGAAAUAAUGACAUUAGCAGAAAGCAGUAUAGGGCAUUUUCUGUUCAGAAAGAAAAAAACCAAAAAUACACAGAGAAUUACUUGUGAAGUGACUGCUAAAACAAGAGAGGACAAAACCAAAGCAUCAAGCUUUUACAACGAUCUCCUAAUACAAGCAAUCAAAUACCUGGCUACAUUUCAGCUCCAACAAUUGCAGCUGCAGUCCCACCUCAGUAUAAGUGAGAAAUACAAGCAAGUAAGUGCCAACUGGGUUUCAGUCUCAAAUACUUCAGUAUCUCCUGCCCUGAAGGACAUUUUGAACUGCAGUGGUGGUAAAAGCCUUCCUGCAUGAACUCCUUAAGGCUCCUUUACAACAACCCCUUUACUGAGGAAACAGAGAAGUGUCUGUAUUUUAGCAAAACAACCUGUUUUCCAAGUUCUAAAAAUAGAAAAGAAAAAAAAUAUUAAAACUGUCUGUCAUUUUGAAAGCACUCACAAGCAUUUCAUCCUAAGCAACACAGCCUCCCCCCUUGCUAAAAAUAAAACAGUACAUUACAGCA